GACGAACGCUGGCGGCGUGCCUAAUACAUGCAAGUCGAACGCAGUGGGGACGGGUGAGUAACACGUGGGUAACCUCCCAUCAGAGGGGAUAACACUUGGAAACAGGUGCUAAACCGAUACUGAUGGAUGGACCUGCGGUGCAUUAGCUAGUUGGGGGGGUAACGGCGCACCAAGGCCACGAUGCUUAGCCGGCCUGAGAGGGUGAUCGGCCACACUGGAACGGAGACACGGCCCAGACUCCUACGUGAGGCAGCAGUGGGGAAUUUUCGGCAAUGGACGAAAGUCUGACCGAGCAACGCCGCGUGGAUGAAGAAGGUUUUCGGGUCGUAAAGCUCUUUUGUUAGAGAGGCGGUAUCUAACCAGGAAGCCACGGCUAACUACGUGCCAGCAGCCGCGGUAAUUC
rnacentral:rRNA from 1 species